rnacentral:misc_RNA from 1 species
UUUAUUUUAACAAAACAUAUGUACGACUUUUUUCUAUUUAAUACUGAAAAACGAUUUUUUACAUUCAAAAUUCAAUGCUUGUUUGUAAUAAGUGAUCGCCGUCGACCGAUGGGGCAUCCGAUGCGCCCUCGCUUCUCCUCCUUUGGUCAAUGAGAUUUAUGUUUCUUGGGGAUGACUACUGAUAAAAUACAGCCUUAUGAUGUCUUCCAACGAUCCACACCGCUCUUGCAGUAAAGAAAAAGAAGUAAAAAUCCGUGACCCCACCUCCAGUACCAUUAGUUUUUUUGAAUAUUCCAAUCGCCAUUUAUCUAGGGGAUUUGAAGAAAACCAAGGUGGCCUCCUUGCUAAAGAGCGUGAAGAAGAAUCAGUACUUGAAGAAAACAAAGGAAAGAAACGUCAGUCGAGAGCAUGCAGUUUAGAAAAGGGCGCCCCUCCAAAAAAGGUAGAGGAGAAGAAGGGCCAUGAUCGCCAUGCCCCUAAGAAAACUGAUAGCCGGACCAAGCAGAAGCAGGGAAAUCCUUACGCUAUUGUGGUGGAACGUAAUCAAAAUUGGUCUCAGUGCAGUGUGGGCAGUGACGAGAUUUGUCUGAAUAAACCCAGUUUCAGUAAAGUUAGUGGUGCUACUGGAACGGAUAGUACCUCGGUGAACUCAUCGCCCUCUGCGGACUUACAACGGAUAUCAUGAUGUUAUGAACGAUCUUCUACCACAUGAAAAAUGAGAGUGUGAGCAAUUAUAAAAGAAAAACGAGAAUGCCCGGCAAUUUUGUUAGUGUUGAUCGUCAAGAUGCUGAUUAUUUUAAUGACACUCCGUGAGGACGAAAUGGAUCAAGCCCAAAAGACAUUUGAAGGAUAUCAGAAGAGGAUUGGAGGAUUGACAUCGAUUUAGAGAAAUCGUAAAUCCUGUAUUGACAUAAACCUCAGUUAGUAAGAAAUUCCAUUGUUCUCGCCCGACUGAAGAAGUGUGAUAUUGAAGAAUACAGUCGUCCUGAUGAAAGGGUCGGAAAAGAAUCUGAAAUUAAAAAAAUUGUAAAAUGA